GAUCCUACGGGGAGGCAGCAGUGGGGGAAUAUUGCACAAUGGGCGCAAGCCUGAUGCAGCCAUGCCGCGUGUAUGAAGAAGGCCUUCGGGUUGUAAAGUACUUUCAGCAGUGAGGAAGGCAGGUACGUUAAUAGCGUGCUUGUUUGACGUUAGCUGCAGAAGAAGCACCGGCUAACUCCGUGCCAGCAGCCGCGGUAAUACGGAGGGUGCGAGCGUUAAUCGGAAUUACUGGGCGUAAAGCGCAUGCAGGUGGUUUGUUAAGUCAGAUGUGAAAGACCCGGGGCUCAACCUCGGAAUUGCAUUUGAAACUGGCAGACUAGAGUACUGUAGAGGGGGGUAGGAAUUUCAGGUGUAGCGGUGAAAUGCGUAGAGAUCUGAAGGAAUACCGGUGGCGAAGGCGGCCCCCUGGACAGAUACUGACACUCAGAUGCGAAAGCGUGGGGAGCAAACAGGAUUAGAUACCCUGGUAG
rnacentral:rRNA from 1 species